UACGAAGGGGGCUAGCGUUGUUCGGAUUUACUGGGCGUAAAGCGCACGUAGGCGGAUCGUUAAGUCAGGGGUGAAAUCCUGGAGCUCAACUCCAGAACUGCCUUUGAUACUGGCGAUCUCGAGUCCGGAAGAGGUGAGUGGAACUCCUAGUGUAGAGGUGGAAUUCGUAGAUAUUAGGAAGAACACCAGUGGCGAAGGCGGCUCACUGGUCCGGAACUGACGCUGAGGUGCGAAAGCGUGGGGAGCAAACAGG
rnacentral:rRNA from 1 species